rnacentral:rRNA from 1 species
GCAGUCGAGCGAAUGGAUUAAGAGCUUGCUCUUAUGAAGUUAGCGGCGGACGGGUGAGUAACACGUGGGUAACCUGCCCAUAAGACUGGGAUAACUCCGGGAAACCGGGGCUAAUACCGGAUAACAUUUUGAACCGCAUGGUUCGAAAUUGAAAGGCGGCUUCGGCUGUCACUUAUGGAUGGACCCGCGUCGCAUUAGCUAGUUGGUGAGGUAACGGCUCACCAAGGCAACGAUGCGUAGCCGACCUGAGAGGGUGAUCGGCCACACUGGGACUGAGACACGGCCCAGACUCCUACGGGAGGCAGCAGUAGGGAAUCUUCCGCAAUGGACGAAAGUCUGACGGAGCAACGCCGCGUGAGUGAUGAAGGCUUUCGGGUCGUAAAACUCUGUUGUUAGGGAAGAACAAGUGCUAGUUGAAUAAGCUGGCACCUUGACGGUACCUAACCAGAAAGCCACGGCUAACUACGUGCCAGCAGCCGCGGUAAUACGUAGGUGGCAAGCGUUAUCCGGAAUUAUUGGGCGUAAAGCGCGCGCAGGUGGUUUCUUAAGUCUGAUGUGAAAGCCCACGGCUCAACCGUGGAGGGUCAUUGGAAACUGGGAGACUUGAGUGCAGAAGAGGAAAGUGGAAUUCCAUGUGUAGCGGUGAAAUGCGUAGAGAUAUGGAGGAACACCAGUGGCGAAGGCGACUUUCUGGUCUGUAACUGACACUGAGGCGCGAAAGCGUGG